GCAGGCCUAACACAUGCAAGUCGAGCGGUAGCACAGAGAGCUUGCUCUCGGGUGACGAGCGGCGGACGGGUGAGUAAUGUCUGGGAAACUGCCUGAUGGAGGGGGAUAACUACUGGAAACGGUAGCUAAUACCGCAUAAUGUCGCAAGACCAAAGUGGGGGACCUUCGGGCCUCAUGCCAUCAGAUGUGCCCAGAUGGGAUUAGCUAGUAGGUGGGGUAACGGCUCACCUAGGCGACGAUCCCUAGCUGGUCUGAGAGGAUGACCAGCCACACUGGAACUGAGACACGGUCCAGACUCCUACGGGAGGCAGCAGUGGGGAAUAUUGCACAAUGGGCGCAAGCCUGAUGCAGCCAUGCCGCGUGUGUGAAGAAGGCCUUCGGGUUGUAAAGCACUUUCAGCGGGGAGGAAGGCGAUAAGGUUAAUAACCUUGUCGAUUGACGUUACCCGCAGAAGAAGCACCGGCUAACUCCGUGCCAGCAGCCGCGGUAAUACGGAGGGUGCAAGCGUUAAUCGGAAUUACUGGGCGUAAAGCGCACGCAGGCGGUCUGUCAAGUCGGAUGUGAAAUCCCCGGGCUUAACCUGGGAACUGCAUUCGAAACUGGCAGGCUAGAGUCUUGUAGAGGGGGGUAGAAUUCCAGGUGUAGCGGUGAAAUGCGUAGAGAUCUGGAGGAAUACCGGUGGCGAAGGCGGCCCCCUGGACAAAGACUGACGCUCAGGUGCGAAAGCGUGGGGAGCAAACAGGAUUAGAUACCCUGGUAGUCCACGCCGUAAACGAUGUCGAUUUGGAGGUUGUGCCCUUGAGGCGUGGCUUCCGGAGCUAACGCGUUAAAUCGACCGCCUGGGGAGUACGGCCGCAAGGUUAAAACUCAAAUGAAUUGACGGGGGCCCCCACAAGCGGUGGAGCAUGUGGUUUAAUUCGAUGCAACGCGAAGAACCUUACCUGGUCUUGACAUCCACAGAACUUUCCAGAGAUGGAUUGGUGCCUUCGGGAACUGUGAGACAGGUGCUGCAUGGCUGUCGUCAGCUCGUGUUGUGAAAUGUUGGGUUAAGUCCCGCAACGAGCGCAACCCUUAUCCUUUGUUGCCAGCGGUUCGGCCGGGAACUCAAAGGAGACUGCCAGUGAUAAACUGGAGGAAGGUGGGGAUGACGUCAAGUCAUCAUGGCCCUUACGACCAGGGCUACACACGUGCUACAAUGGCAUAUACAAAGAGAAGCGACCUCGCGAGAGCAAGCGGACCUCAUAAAGUAUGUCGUAGUCCGGAUUGGAGUCUGCAACUCGACUCCAUGAAGUCGGAAUCGCUAGUAAUCGUAGAUCAGAAUGCUACGGUGAAUAAGUUCCCGGGCCUUGUACAC
rnacentral:rRNA from 1 species